UACGAAGGGGGCUAGCGUUGCUCGGAAUCACUGGGCGUAAAGGGUGCGUAGGCGGGUCUUUAAGUUAGGGGUGAAAUCCUGGAGCUCAACUCCAGAACUGCCUUUGAUACUGGCGAUCUCGAGUCCGGGAGAGGUGAGUGGAACUGCGAGUGUAGAGGUGAAAUUCGUAGAUAUUCGCAAGAACACCAGUGGCGAAGGCGGCUCACUGGCCCGGUACUGACGCUGAGGUGCGAAAGCGUGGGGAGCAAACAGG
rnacentral:rRNA from 1 species